UACAGAGGGUGCGAGCGUUAAUCGGAAUUACUGGGCGUAAAGCGUGCGUAGACGGUAGCGUAAGUCAGAUGUGAAAGCCCCGGGCUCAACCUGGGAAUUGCAUUUGAGACCGCUCUGCUCGGGUGCGGAAGAGGGAAGCGGAAUUUCCGGUGUAGCGGUGAAAUGCGUAGAUAUCGGAAGGAACACCAGUGGCGAAAGCGGCUUCCUGGUCCGACACCGACGUUCAGGCACGAAAGCGUGGGGAGCAAACAGG
rnacentral:rRNA from 1 species